UACGAAGGGGGCUAGCGUUGCUCGGAAUCACUGGGCGUAAAGGGCGCGCAGGCGGCUGCUCAAGUCAGGCGUGAAAGGCCUGGGCUCAACCCGGGAAUUGCGCUUGAGACUGGGCUGGCUUGAGUGCGGGAGAGGAUGGUGGAAUUCCCAGUGUAGAGGUGAAAUUCGUAGAUAUCGAGAGGAACACCUGCGGCGAAGGCGGGUUGCUGGGCUGACACUGACGCUGAGGCGCGAAAGCUAGGGGAGCGAACGGG
rnacentral:rRNA from 1 species